rnacentral:lncRNA from 1 species
AAGGAAUUGACUGCAACCCCAAUUAAACAUAUUAACAUUUUUGUGGAAAUGUAAGGUUAAGAUAAUACAUAAAUAAGCUAUAAGAACAUGCUCGUUUUAAUUUUGGUCACUAGAAUAUUAACUGAAUUUUCCAUUUCUUUGCUUAAAAAAAUUUCACAUGCAUUGAUAACAUUUCUAAAGAUAAGUUACAGCUUUCUCAAUAACUCUAAUGUAAGAGCAACAACAACAUGGCUGUUUGAAAUUAUAAAAAGUUAAACAGGCUUCUCCAACAAUCCAACUCCUGGGUUUCUACCCAGAUGGAAAGAAGUCGUUAUAUUAAAAAGAUACUUAUACAUGCAUGUUAUGGUUUUUCUUCUGGCAAUUGAAUAUUUUAGGUCUUAAAGUGAUGAGAAAACCAGAAAUACUCAACCUAUAUUUUGUAUCUUGUUCACUGUGAAAGAUAAUAAUCUUCAAAUUGGAAAGGGAAAAGGGAAGAAUCAACAAUGUUGGGAUGGAAUUAAAGGCCAUGAAAAGUGAGGAAAAAAUAGAGCACAGUUAGUUGAUUUGAAAUGAAUCUAAAUUGACAGUCCUGGUGAAUAUAAUCCUGGGCAUUGAGCAAACUUGUAAAUAUCAAUGAUAACAUCGGUAAUAUUUGAGAGCUGGAGAAAAAAGACAAGAAAAAUGGGUCAAAGAUUGGUGGGGAUAGUUAAUUUGUGGGGCUAGUUCCUGAAACUACAGAUUAGUGAACUUGACCUUCACUUCUGAUCAAAUUAAAUGCAGUAUUAUAGAAAUUGGACAAGUACAGAAAAAUAUAAAACAGAAAAUAAUAAUUAAAAAAUUUGUAAUCUUAUCACAGAGGUAACUUAAAGUACUGGUUU